rnacentral:misc_RNA from 1 species
GAUGAAGAACGUAGCGAAAUGCGAUAAGUAAUGUGAAUUGCAGAAUUCAGUGAAUCAUCGAAUCUUUGAACGCACAUUGCGCCCGCCAGCACUCUGGCGGGCAUGCCUGUUCGAGCGUCAUUUCAACCAUCAAGCUCAGCUUGGUGUUGGGCCCCGCCGCCCCGGCGGGCCCUAAAGUCAGUGGCGGUGCCGUCCGGCUCCGAGCGUAGUAAUUCUUCUCGCUCUGGAGGUCCGGUCGUGUGCUCGCCAGCAACCCCCAAUUUUUUUCAGGUUGACCUCGGAUCAGGUAGGGAUACCCGCUGAACUUAAGCAUAUCAAUAAGCGGAGGA